UCAGCCCAGCCAAGGCUGGCAGCUGUCACCAGGGCCCAGCGGCGGCUCCUCACAUCGGUAUGUCAGACAGACUAACGAUGUCUUCCUCUCUCCCUCCCCUUCCCUCUUUUCUCUUCAUCUCCAUGCUAUGCCGCGUCACUAACAGGGACACCGCGGACACAGGCCCGCCAGGGAGACUUUGUCUGUGUGGAGUGCGGCAAGAGUUUCCACCAGCCCAGCCAACUCAGGGCCCACCUUCGGGCACACACAGGGGAGAGACCAUACUACCCCAGGGACUGUGCCAGCGGGGCCUCUCCGAAAGGGGACCUAGAGACACGCCUCCAGCGCUCAGCCCGUGAUGGUGUCGACAGUGGCCUCACGGGCGAUUGGAAGGCUCCCAGCGGUGACCAUGGCCACCUUGGGGAAGAAGAGCCAGGGUCUCCUGACCAGAUACCUUAGACCCGGGAGCCGCUGCGCUAGAGCAGACCAAGGGAGAUGCCUCCCUUGGUAACAUUUAGGGACAGCGAAGAUGCUAUGCCUAGAAUCCCGUGUAGCUCUUUCACACACAUGUAUGUGCUCAUCCACCAUGGCCUGUGUUUCCUCAUGAUAAGCAGUGGUAUUGGCAGGCACAGUGGGAGCUCAAGGCAUCUGUAUUACUCAAGACAAGCGUGAGACACUGGAAAAAAGAUACUGGUGUGUUUUGGAUGGAGUGGAGACCUAAGCACUGUGGGAGGUGUCCAGUGCUUAGAGGUGAUGCUGUCAGGACGUGGGGAGUGGAGGCCGCUGAGGGCCCGCUCUCCCGCCUCUCCCUGCCUCAGUGGGUAUUUAGUAGCAGGUAAGAUGGAGGGUGUAUUCAGGAGCUGUAAGGCUUGGUGGUGCUCAGGCUCGGUAGGGCGGGGCGAUGGCGGAUCCUCACAGUUCCGAGGUCUGGCCAUGACCCGCUCUGAGCCAUUCAUGUCACCCUCAUGCUCUGGGUUUUCACCGUUGGGGCUGCGUCUGGCACAGGAAACACGGCAGAGAUGGGAACACAUAGAAAUCUGCUUUGGAAAAGAGAGUUAGUUGAACACUAAGAAGAGCAGGCGUCUUUGUUUAUUCUCAGGACCUUUUUGUAACAGGGCUACACUCUGCAAACUGCUCACAAAAGAAGACUACACGUCUUAACAGAUUAAGCCACUGAAUCCUCCCGAUUUGGGCCUGUUUUAGUGAUGGCAGAAGAAUCCUUGAGCAGUUUGGGGGCCCUAGAUCAUUAGGGUGCUACUGCUCUGGAACCUUCUGUUCCCCUCCUCCCCAUCCCAGCCUCUCCCCUGCAGCACCCCGGCAAAUAGAUGUCUUUCCCUCUUGGGUCUGGUGACCACCAUUGGCCUAGUGGCUUUGUUCCUAGGUUGGUGGGAGGGCACCAGGCCUGAGGGUGAGGACGGCUUUAUAUACCUCUUCCUUAGUCACGCGAGUUCACGUUUCUGCGGUGGGGUGAAGGCCCUGGCAGAGGCUCUGAGCCCACGCAGCAGCGUGUGCGCUCGGAACUGUAUUCCGCAGGUAGCAGCGUUUCCCUUCCCCAUUGCUGUGACACUGUGUGUGAUGGCGAUACUUCUGCAAGUUCCAGAUGUUUGCACAUAGGAUUUUAUGCAUUAUCAGAAGUUACUGCUGCCUUGAAUGAAAACGUUCUGUGAAAUUUUUUGCAAAAGCUUUACUAGUUUUUUUUUAUUGUGAAAUUUUGUAAAGGCAGGAAAUGGAUUAAGACGAGCAUGCUAAAUAUAUUUUUCAAAAAAAGAAGCAAUAAUUUUACAUGUACAGAAAUUAUCCUAACCUUUAAUAUACUGGUGAGAGCGACAGUUUACUUAACACAGUAAUGGAUCAGUGCAGUUUUUGUAGGAAAUGGGCUUCUGAUACAAAGACUUGUUUAAACACACAUGUAUACAUGAACCCUGGCGUGUGGUUUCUCUGUUCUAAUGAUGUUGGAUUAUUAUUAUAUUAUUAUUAUUAUUGUUAUUGUUAUUGUUAGCUAAUGUUUGAUUCUGGAUUCUACUUGUUGCUGUUUUAAUUACUUGACCGUUCAGGUGGCUAUGACACUUGCAGACAAUGCAAUGUUAACUGGCUAGCAGAUACAUAUAUACAUAUCUAUGUGUAUAUAUAAUUAUUUUUUUUACUUAUUUUUUUUCCUGAUACGCCUACACCAGGUAUGUAUGAGAACGGCUUGCUAUGUCCGAGUGCUUGGGAAUAUUGAUCAUUCUGAGACAUUACCUUGAGCAGGUCGCAGAGACACAUUCCUCUCUCCACCUGAGGCAGCAGAGUACUGUUCUGUUGAUUCGUGUUCGAUCGUUUUGAUAGUUCGCCCCACCGUUUCUGCAUUCUCUGGCUUUCUGUUUUCUUGGCUGAAAGUAAAGGUGAGAGCUAGGAAUGUGCAGGGGCCUGUGGUUUGGGCCCCAUCUCCAUCUGUGUUUUAGUUAUUAAAAAAUUCUGUACACAAAGGGACACAAAGGUGUCGUCUGCGUUUUUACUGUGUCCGAAACUGCACUUGGCAUUGAAGCUGGAAGGGUCUGUCUUCCAGUGGGGCCUCCUUCCCAGCUGGUCUAGGGAAAGAGGGGUGCAUGGGGUCCCUGUAGCUGAGGGUCUGUCUGAAGAGCAGCCAGGAGAACAGCCAAUCCCAGGAUGACCUGCUCCUCAAAGCACAGAGAUACAGUUUUCAUGUAGCCACAAGGCCAUGAGCAGCGCCCCCCCCCCCCCCCCCCCCAGCUCACACUCCCCCUGGGACCAGCUGGGUGCUGGCCUGGGUGUAUGGCCUCUUUGUCCCACUGACCAUCAGUAUUGGACCGGUUUGUUAAUUCAUUUAUGUCAGCUCAACCCUAGUAUUUAAUAUGAUUUGUGUUUUCUUAUUUAUUUAGCCAGUCUGUUUUGAUUUGCUCCCUCUGCGAUAAUUUCCACAUUUCUGACUGUUACAGACUUCCUACUACCUCUAUGAAUCUGCUGUUUCCUUGUUUCCUAACGGGACUUUUACAGUGUUGCGUCUAAUGUGACUUAGACAAUAAAGGGUUUGGUUGUCUACACUGCAGCCGCUCUGUGUGUCUCCCCUGCCUUCUGCCCCGCGCUCUUCCUGGUUCCUGCCUCCCUCCCUCCCUGCCUCGCUCAGUCUACCUUUCACCUCUCUCUUGCCUUUUUCUUACCUCCUCUCUUACACAUCUUCCUCAUUUCAAAGGCAAAUAACACAUUUCUCAAACCCUUUCUUAAUUCAGAGAAUGAAGAUUUAAAUUUACAAAUAAUAAACAAAUCGUGGGUUCUAACUGUC